rnacentral:rRNA from 1 species
GAAUUCGCCCUUAGAGUUUGAUCCUGGCUCAGGACGAACGCUGGCGGCGUGCUUAACACAUGCAAGUCGAACGAGAAUCUACUGAAAGAGUUUUCGGACAAUGGAAGUAGAGGAAAGUGGCGGACGGGUGAGUAACGCGUGAGGAACCUGCCUUGAAGAGGGGGACAACAGUUGGAAACGACUGCUAAUACCGCAUGACGCAUAGAGGUCGCAUGAUCUUUAUGCCAAAGAUUUAUCGCUUCAAGAUGGCCUCGCGUCUGAUUAGCUAGUUGGCGGGGUAACGGCCCACCAAGGCGACGAUCAGUAGCCGGACUGAGAGGUUGAACGGCCACAUUGGGACUGAGAUACGGCCCAGACUCCUACGGGAGGCAGCAGUGGGGAAUAUUGGGCAAUGGGCGCAAGCCUGACCCAGCAACGCCGCGUGAAGGAAGAAGGCUUUCGGGUUGUAAACUUCUUUUAAGAGGGAAGAGCAGAAGACGGUACCUCUAGAAUAAGCCACGGCUAACUACGUGCCAGCAGCCGCGGUAAUACGUAGGUGGCAAGCGUUGUCCGGAUUUACUGGGUGUAAAGGGCGUGCAGCCGGGUCUGCAAGUCAGAUGUGAAAUCCAUGGGCUCAACCCAUGAACUGCAUUUGAAACUGUAGAUCUUGAGUGUCGGAGGGGCAAUCGGAAUUCCUAGUGUAGCGGUGAAAUGCGUAGAUAUUAGGAGGAACACCAGUGGCGAAGGCGGAUUGCUGGACGAUAACUGACGGUGAGGCGCGAAAGUGUGGGGAGCAAACAGGAUUAGAUACCCUGGUAGUCCACACUGUAAACGAUGAAUACUAAGUGGGGCGGGGGACUGACCCC